rnacentral:rRNA from 1 species
UACGAAGGGUGCAAGCGUUGCUCGGAAUUAUUGGGCGUAAAGCGCACGUAGGCGGCUUUGCAAGUCGGAUGUGAAAUCCCUCGGCUCAACCAAGGAAGUGCAUCCGAAACUGCAGAGCUUGAGUACUGAAGAGGAUCGCGGAAUUCCCGGUGUAGAGGUGAAAUUCGUAGAUAUUCGGAGGAACACCAGUGGCGAAGGCGGCUCACUGGUCCGGUACUGACGCUGAGGUGCGAAAGCGUGGGGAGCAAACAGG